CAUGAAACACGGAGCAAUCUGUGGCUUAUAGAUGGGCCUGCGGCGCAUUAGCUAGUUGGUAGGGUAACGGCCUACCAAGGCGACGAUGCGUAGCCGACCUGAGAGGGUGAACGGCCACACUGGGACUGAGACACGGCCCAGACUCCUACGGGAGGCAGCAGUAGGGAAUCUUCCGCAAUGGACGCAAGUCUGACGGAGCAACGCCGCGUGAGUGAUGAAGGUUUUCGGAUCGUAAAGCUCUGUUGCCCUAGACGAACAGCAAGGCGAGUAACUGCGCUUUGUGUGACGGUAUAGGAGAAGAAAGCCCCGGCUAACUACGUGCCAGCAGCCGCGGUAAUACGUAGGGGGCAAGCGUUGUCCGGAAUUAUUGGGCGUAAAGCGCGCGCAGGCGGUUAAUUAAGUUGGGUGUUUAAGCCCGGGGCUCAACCCCGGUUCGCAUCCAAAACUGGUUGACUUGAGUGUAGGAGAGGAAAGUGGAAUUCCACGUGUAGCGGUGAAAUGCGUAGAGAUGUGGAGGAACACCAGUGGCGAAGGCGACUUUCUGGCCUAUAACUGACGCUG
rnacentral:rRNA from 1 species